CAAAAUGUAUAAAAAUACCCUUUAAUAAAAUCUGACAAAGUGCACUUUAACCACAUGUGAUGUUUUCUAUUACAAAUCUCAAAUUGUGGAGUAUAGAGGCAAAUAAAUAAAUGAUGGGUCCUUGUUCCAAGCAUUAUGGAGGGGCACUGAUAAAGGAUGGCUAACU